GCUGGGAGAGCACAGUUGACUGUUUUAUGCAAUAUCCUGCCAGAAGAUGCUGACCAGCUCUCUAGUAAUGGAAAGUAGUGAGACUGACUUAACAGCCUAUAUAGUUUAUCUUGCCAUUCCAUAUAUUUUAAUGUGAUUUGUAAGCAUUUGACACACAAUUCUAGAAACAUCUUCUCUUGGGAUUUUGGAUUACUGUAAGGUGGUAACAUCUUUAAACAGCUAUUCUGCUUUGCUUCUAGUGUUAGUGGAUUUUUGUGUGGUUCUUACAGAAUGGACUCUGAAAAAUUAAUUUUGGUGCUAUUGUCCUGGGGGGUCUCACAGCACUCUGUCUGAUCAAAGAAAUGCUCAUGUGCUAGUCACAUUACUGUGCUUCUUUUCUGUGACAUCAUUAUUGCUUAGCUACACAGGCAAUUAUAGGUGGUUUGGGGUGCAAAUUAAGUUAGGUAGCUGGUAAAAGUUGGACCCCAGUACACAUCUCAUUAUCAUAAUGCAAAUAUCCUGUGUGUGCUGAUUUUGAAUGAUGGUGAGCUAAGUGGUCAGAUGAUGGGUGCUCUUUUUUAAAAUAUUUUUUUAGUUGUCA
rnacentral:lncRNA from 1 species